GACGAACGUUGGCGGCGUGCUUAAUACAUGCAAGUCAACUGAAGCAGUGGUAGCAAUAUCGCUGUGGAGGUGGCGCACGGGUGAGUAACACGUAGGUAAUCUGCCUUCAGGUCUGGCAUAACUCCGGGAAACCGGGGCUAAUAGCAGAUGAUGCAGCGGCUCGACAUCGAGACAGUUGUUAAAGCUAUGGCGCCUGAAGAUGAGCCUGCGUCUGAUUAGCUAGUUGGCGGGGUAACGGCCCACCAAGGCAACGAUCAGUAGCUGGUAUGAGAGGAUGAUCAGAGACACUGGAACUGAGAUACGGCCCAGACUCCGACGGGAGGCAGCAGUAAGGAAUAAUGCUCGAUGGGAGAAAUCCUGAAGCAGCAACGCCGCGUGAGGGACGAAGGGCGUUUGAUUGUAAACCUCUGGUGUGAGAGAAAAAAAUCCCAAUCUGCGGGACAUGAUGGUAUCUCAAAAGUAAGCCCCGGCUAACUACGUG
rnacentral:rRNA from 1 species